rnacentral:rRNA from 1 species
UACGGAGGGUGCAAGCGUUGUCCGGAUUUAUUGGGUUUAAAGGGUGCGUAGGCGGCUUAUUAAGUCAGGGGUGAAAGACUGCAGCUCAACUGUAGCAGUGCCUUUGAUACUGAUGAGCUUGAGUACAGAUGAGGCCGGCUGAAUGGGUGGUGUAGCGGUGAAAUGCAUAGAUACCAUCCAGAACACCGAUUGCGAAGGCAGCCGGCUAAACUGUAACUGACGCUGAGGCACGAAAGCGUGGGGAUCGAAC